rnacentral:rRNA from 1 species
GACGAACGUUGGCGGCGUGCUUAAUACAUGCAAGUCAACUGAAGCAGUGGUAGCAAUAUCGCUGUGGAGGUGGCGCACGGGUGAGUAACACGUAGGUAAUCUGCCUUCAGGUCUGGCAUAACUCCGGGAAACCGGGGCUAAUAGCAGAUGAUGCAGCGGCUCGACAUCGAGACAGUUGUUAAAGCUAUGGCGCCUGAAGAUGAGCCUGCGUCUGAUUAGCUAGUUGGCGGGGUAACGGCCCACCAAGGCAACGAUCAGUAGCUGGUCUGAGAGGAUGAUCAGACACACUGGAACUGAGACACGGUCCAGACUCCUACGGGAGGCAGCAGUAAGGAAUAUUGCUCAAUGGGAGAGAUCCUGAAGCAGCAACGCCGCGUAAGGGACGAAGGGCUUUUGCUUGUAAACCUCUGUAGUGAGAGAAAAAAAUCCCAAUCUUUGGGACAUGAUGGUAUCUCAAAAGUAAGCCCCGGCUAACUACGUGC